rnacentral:rRNA from 1 species
UACGAAGGGGGCUAGCGUUGCUCGGAAUCACUGGGCGUAAAGCGCACGUAGGCCGAUUGUUAAGUCUGGGGUGAAAUCCUGGAGCUCAACUCCAGAACUGCCCUUGAUACUGACGGUCUCGAGUCCGGGAGAGAUGGAGUGGAACUGCGAGUGUAGAGGUGAAAUUCGUAGAUAUUCGCAAGAACACCAGUGGCGAAGGCGGCUCACUGGCCCGGUACUGACGCUGAGGUGCGAAAGCGUGGGGGAGCAAACAGG